AGAGUUUGAUCCUGGCUCAGGAUGAACGCUAGCGACAGGCUUAACACAUGCAAGUCGAGGGGCAGCGAGGGAGUGGCAACACUUCUGUCGGCGACCGGCGCACGGGUGAGUAACGCGUAUGCAACCUGCCCUUCACAGGGGGAUAACCGGGAGAAAUUCCGACUAAUACCGCAUACGUCCUCCGGGGGCAUCCCCGGGGGAUGAAAGAAUUAUCGGUGAAGGAUGGGCAUGCGUGAUAUUAGGUAGUUGGCGGGGCAACGGCCCACCAAGCCUACGAUAUCUAGGGGUUCUGAGAGGAAGGUCCCCCACAUUGGUACUGAGACACGGACCAAACUCCUACGGGAGGCAGCAGUGAGGAAUAUUGGUCAAUGGACGAGAGUCUGAACCAGCCAAGUCGCGUGAAGGAAGACGGAUCUAUGGUUUGUAAACUUCUUUAGUGCGGGAACAAAGCGGCGUCGUGACGCCGGAUGAGUGUACCGCAAGAAUAAGCAUCGGCUAACUCCGUGCCAGCAGCCGCGGUAAUACGGAGGAUGCGAGCGUUAUCCGGAUUUAUUGGGUUUAAAGGGAGCGCAGGCUGCGAGGCAAGUCAGCGGUCAAAUGUCGGGGCUCAACCCCGGCCUGCCGUUGAAACUGUCUUGCUAGAGUUCGAGUGAGGUAUGCGGAAUGCGUUGUGUAGCGGUGAAAUGCAUAGAUAUGACGCAGAACUCCGAUUGCGAAGGCAGCAUACCAACUCGCGACUGACGCUGAGGCUCGAAAGCGUGGGUAUCGAACAGGAUUAGAUACCCUGGUAGUCCACGCAGUAAACGAUGAAUACUAACUGUUCGGAGGGCGACCUCUGAGUGGUAAAGCGAAAGCGUUAAGUAUUCCACCUGGGGAGUACGCCGGCAACGGUGAAACU
rnacentral:rRNA from 1 species